AGAGUUUGAUCCUGGCUCAGGAUGAACGCUGACAGAAUGCUUAACACAUGCAAGUCGAUGGGGAAGCGGCGCUUGCGCCGUGGCAACCAUGGCGGACGGGUGAGUAGCGCGUAAAGAACUUGCCGGAUGGACCGGGAUAACAGCUGGAAACGGCUGGCAAGACCGGAUACUGUGGGCUGGCCGCAUGGCUGGCCCAUGAAAAGGGAUGCCGUCCGAGAGCUUUGCGUCCUAUUAGCUGGUUGGUGAGGUGACGGCUUACCAAGGCGAUGAUAGGUAGCCGGCCUGAGAGGGUGGACGGCCACAAGGGGACUGAGAUACGGCCCUUACUCCUACGGGAGGCAGCAGUGGGGAAUAUUGGACAAUGGGGGCAACCCUGAUCCAGCAAUUCUGUGUGCACGAAGAAGGUUUUCGGAUCGUAAAGUGCUUUCAGCAGGGAGGAAGGAAGUGACUGUACCUGCAGAAGAAGCGACGGCUAAAUACGUGCCAGCAGCCGCGGUAAUACGUAUGUCGCGAGCGUUAUCCGGAAUUAUUGGGCAUAAAGGGCAUCUAGGCGGCCGGGUAAGUCCGGGGUGAAAACUGCUGGCUCAACCAGCAGCCUGCCUUGGAAACUACCCGGCUUGAGUGCUGGAGAGGUGGACGGAACUGCACGAGUAGAGGUGAAAUUCGUAGAUAUGUGCAGGAAUGCCGAUGAUGAAGAUAGUUCACUGGACGGCAACUGACGCUGAAGUGCGAAAGCUAGGGGAGCGAACAGGAUUAGAUACCCUGGUAGUCCUAGCUGUAAACGAUGAUUACUGGGUGUGGGCAUGAAGAGUGUCCGUGCCGAAGCUAAUGCGAUAAGUAAUCCGCCUGGGGAGUACGGCCGCAAGGCUGAAACUCAAAGGAAUUGACGGGGACCCGCACAAGCGGUGGAGCAUGU
rnacentral:rRNA from 1 species